rnacentral:rRNA from 1 species
GAUGAACGCUGGCGGCGUGCCUAAUACAUGCAAGUCGAGCGAACAUACGAGGAGCUUGCUCCUCUGACGUUAGCGGCGGACGGGUGAGUAACACGUGGAUAACCUACCUAUAAGACUGGGAUAACUUCGGGAAACCGGAGCUAAUACCGGAUAAUAUAUUUAACCGCAUGGUUCAAUAGUGAAAGACGGUUUUGCUGUCACUUAUAGAUGGAUCCGCGCCGCAUUAGCUAGUUGGUAAGGUAACGGCUUACCAAGGCAACGAUGCGUAGCCGACCUGAGAGGGUGAUCGGACACACUGGAACUGAGACACGGUCCAGACUCCUACGGGAGGCAGCAGUAGGGAAUCUUCCGCAAUGGGCGAAAGCCUGACGGAGAAACGCCGCGUGAGUGAUGAAGGUCUUCGGAUCGUAAAACUAUGUUAUUAGGGAAGAACAAAUGUGUAAGUAACUAUGCACGUCUUGACGGUACCUAAUCAGAAAGCCACGGCUAACUACGUG